GUACUUUCAGGCAAGGCCAAGUCUUCUUGAAAGGCUGGUCAUGGCCCAGUGAUCAAUGAAGAACUCAGGGACAUCCCAAAACUCAGGACUAUAAGGAAAGAGGCAUUACCAUAUCAAAGCCUUGAGCCUUCUUGCAUCAUGACAGAAAUUUGAACUUGGUGUUUGAAGAACACGAAAAAUGAGGAGGAAUAAAAUAAUCAUGAGUCUCCUGGUCAUUAACUGCA